UUUCCUCACAAACUGCACACAAUACUGUAGCUCUAACACUGCGCUGGUAGUUAACGAAAAACCCUAUAAUCAUCUUCUUCCCAAUUCGCUCAUCAAUUGCUCGCCAUAACCGUCUUCUUCAUCAGUCUUCGAAUUUCGCUCACAAAUUGCAAAGCGGCGAGAAUGUGAGUUGUACAACGGAAUUCUCUGAAAUUUCAAUAAAAUUGUUCUUGUUUGCCAUCGUCUUCUUCAUCAGGGUGAAGAGUUGACUUUUGACUAUAAUUAUGUACGGGUAUUUGGUGCUGCUGCAAAGAAAUGUCAUUGUGGCUCUCGUAAGUGUCGGGGCUAUAUAGGAGGUGAUCCACUCAAUGCAAAAGGAAUUGUUCAAGGAGACUCAGAUGAAGAAUUUCCAGAACCUGUAAUGGUUAAUGAAAAUGGUGAAAUUGACCAUAGCCUGGAGGAGAGGAUGGCUAAAUCCAGUUCUCAGGAUGUUGAACGGGGUUUAACUGGAGAUAACAUAAAUGAGGAGAAUUCUGAUAUCAUUGUUGAAGCUGAUAAUUUAAUAAAUAAAUUAGAGUCUUCAAUUGAUGACGUUGAGCUAUCACUUACUGUGCUAGAAAGAGUCACAAUUGAUGAAGUUCAUGAAUCUAUAGAUAGUUCGACAGGCUUAUAGUCUAAAAUUUUUUGAAAUCAAUCUAUAUCUGCUAUACAAAACCAUACACUCAAAACAGAACAUUCGAUGAGCCAGGGCCGUCUCAAAGAAAAUGAGGCCCCUGUGCGAACAAUAUAACUGGGGCCCUUAUUCCUUAACCCUCCAAUAAUGUAUAAAGAUAGAUCAUUCUCCAUUUUUUAUUUAACCGUAGCCCAAUAGUUAUACAUGAAAUUCUCACAUGAACACUAUGAAAAUUUGAUUAAUAUACUAGAACAGUCAAACCGCUAACAUCAAACACAAGCAUUAUAUGUAUAGAUGAUAAAUCUGAAAAUUAGUUCACAGGGUAAUAUCAAUAAAUUGUAUUCUUAACAACAAAAAUUUCUAUUGUUUCAAUUGAUGGACUAACAAUCAAAUUAAUAAUUUGAGCAUGUAGAAAACCCUUACAGAAUCAAUCAAAAACCAAACCACAUAAUAGACUUGUAGUAGCAAUUUAAAUGAAAUUAACAAGAAAUAGAAAAAAAGCAUGGAAUGGUAGAACAAUUAACAAGUAGUAGCACCUUGAAACGAAUGGCUGAUGGAGUUGAUCUGGGAUGGGCGACAAGGCUAUGUGGUGAAGGCAAUAGCUAUUCUAAAGAGAGUGAGGUAGAAGGAGACCAAGAGAUAUGAGAGAGAAAGAAAUUAAAAUUACCAAUUAAACCUAAUUUUAAAUAUGUCAGCUUGAAGCUAUGGUGGAGUCAUUAAUGGAGUUUUGAAGAAAGAGCCAUUAAUGAAAUUUUGGAGGAUUGGAAAAGACGCAGUUCUUAAUGGGUUUUGGAGGAGCAAUUAAUGCCUGAAUACUGAAGGAGUGAAGCCGUAAAGGUUGCCGCGUGAAGUAAGAUUUUUUUAAAAUAAAUUUUGGGCGGUCAACACAACAAUUGGGCCCUUAUAUUUUUUGGGGCCUUGUGCAGUUGAUCACCCUACACAGGGCCUUAGCCGGGCCUGCGAUGAGCACAACAACAUCUUCCCCGAAAUCAGAUAUACUGCCUGUAGAAAACACAAUGCAAAAGUCUCUCACUGGUUCCAUUGAUUCAAGUGGUAGGGUAACUGAGGUUUAUGCUGCGUGUGAACUAUGCAAGACCGCGUCCCGGAACAAAAAUUUCUCGCCCACCUAACUCUGUUAAGAACCGGAAAUCUAGCGGCAGUUCAGCAACUGUUGGGAAGGCUGUUCUAAUUACCUCAAAAUCUAAGAUGUCAUCCUACAAGCCAAAUACUAGAGGGUUCUGCUAAUGGUCAUCGUGAAGCAGUUGAGGAGAAACUCAAUGAAUUACUUGAUUCUGAUGGUGGUAUCUGCAAAAAGAAGGAUGCCUCUAAAGGCUACUUGAAACUUUUGCUUCUAACUGCAGCUUCUGGUGAUAGUGGCAAUGGCGGAGCAAUUCAGAGGUACUCGAAAAUAAUAAUAAAGGUCCAACAGAUCAAGAACAGGAAGACACUACUUGAAGCUUCAAACUGGAUACCACCAUUGUUUUGCUAGAUCUUAGUAUUAUUUAGCUUUGUAAGGCUACAACUACAUCUUUAUUGUGUUUUAAUUUUGUGGUAUUUUUAGAAACAUAUUAGUUAUGAAGUAUUAUAUAUUGAUGAACGUAUGUAGGGAUUUUAAUUGUACGAACUACGUUUAUGAUUUAUGAUAAUAAUAUAUACAUUGUUC